rnacentral:lncRNA from 10 species
UUAGGAAGCUGCCAUCUUGUGAACUGUCUAUGGAAAAAGCUAUGUAGCGGGGAACAGUGGGUAGCCUCUUGGGAGCUGAGAGUGGCCUCAAUCUGACAUUCUGGAAAAACCUGAAAAUUUUCGUCCUAAAAAUGUAAAGAAAUGCAUUCUCCCAAUAACAUUAGGGAGUUGGAAGUUGAUUCUUCCCUACUCAAAAUUACAGCAACAUGGAUGAAGACUAUUAUCCCGAGUGAAAUAAC